GGAUGUGAGGGCGAUCUGGCUGCGACAUCUGUCACCCCAUUGAUCGCCAGGGUUGAUUCGGCUGAUCUGGCUGGCUAGGCGGGUGUCCCCUUCCUCCCUCACCGCUCCAUGUGCGUCCCUCCCGAAGCUGCGCGCUCGGUCGAAGAGGACGACCAUCCCCGAUAGAGGAGGACCGUUCUUCGGUCAAGGGUAUACGAGUAGCUGCGCUCCCCUGCUAGAACCUCCAAACAAGCUCUCAAGGUCCAUUUGUAGGAGAACGUAGGGUAGUCAAGCUUCCAAGACUCCAGACACAUCCAAAUGAGGCGCUGCAUGUGGCAGUCUGCCUUUCUUU
ensembl:misc_RNA 7SK 7SK RNA